GAUGAACGCUGGCGGCGUGCCUAAUACAUGCAAGUCGAGCGAACGGACGAGAAGCUUGCUUCUCUGAUGUUAGCGGCGGACGGGUGAGUAACACGUGGAUAACCUACCUAUAAGACUGGGAUAACUUCGGGAAACCGGAGCUAAUACCGGAUAAUAUUUUGAACCGCAUGGUUCAAAAGUGAAAGACGGUCUUGCUGUCACUUAUAGAUGGAUCCGCGCUGCAUUAGCUAGUUGGUAAGGUAACGGCUUACCAAGGCAACGAUGCAUAGCCGACCUGAGAGGGUGAUAGGCCACACUGGAACUGAGACACGGUCCAGACUACUGCGGGAGGCAGCAGUAGGGAAUCUUCCGCAAUGGGCGAAAGCCUGACGGAGCAACGCCGCGUGAGUGAUGAAGGUCUUCGGAUCGUAAAACUCUGUUAUUAGGGAAGAACAUAUGUGUAAGUAACUGUGCACAUCUUGACGGUACCUAAUCAGAAAGCCACGGCUAACUACGUG
rnacentral:rRNA from 1 species